rnacentral:rRNA from 1 species
GUUAGAUUAGCUAGUUGGUGGGGUAAAGGCCUACCAAGGCGACGAUCUAUAGCUGGUCUGAGAGGACGAUCAGCCACACUGGGACUGAGACACGGCCCAGACUCCUACGGGAGGCAGCAGUGGGGAAUAUUGGACAAUGGGCGCAAGCCUGAUCCAGCAACACCGCGUGUGUGAAGAAGGCCUUAGGGUUGUAAAGCACUUUCAAUUGGGAGGAAAACCUGCCGGUCAAUACCCGGUAGCUUGACAUUACCUUUAGAAGAAGCACCGGCUAACUCCGUGCCAGCAGCCGCGGUAAUACGGAGGGUGCGAGCGUUAAUCGGAAUUACUGGGCGUAAAGCGUGCGUAGGCGGUUCGUUAAGUCAGAUGUGAAAGCCCUGGGCUCAACCUGGGAACGGCAUUUGAAACUGGCGGACUAGAGUUUAGUAGAGGGGAGUGGAAUUUCAGGUGUAGCGGUGAAAUGCGUAGAUAUCUGAAGGAACACCAGUGGCGAAGGCGACUCCCUGGACUAGAACUGACGCUGAGGUACGAAAGCGUGGGUAGCAAACAGGAUUAGAUACCCUGGUAGUCCACGCCGUAAACGAUGUCGACUAGCCGUUGGUCCUAUUUACAGGAUUAGUGGCGCAGCUAACGCAUUAAGUCGACCGCCUGGGGAGUACGGCCGCAAGGUUAAAACUCAAAGGAAUUGACGG